UAUCCGAGCUAAGGUAUACCCUUUCUUUGGCAGGCAUCAAGGACAUGACAUAUUCAUUAAUCGAAUCAACCAUAUCAUUGGUUGGGGCCAGGAUAGCUCUAUCCUUAAAAUAUUCUGGAUUAGACAGGGUAUGCAGUACGUCUGGAUAAGUACUUUUCACUAUGGAUGCAAUAGGAUUACUUGAAUCUCGUAUUAUCAUAUCGUCUGGUAACCUCAAAUCGGCUUCUCCAUCACCAAUACUCUCACCAGCUGUACCAUCCCCUAUACUAAGUAUCCAUUCUGCAAAUUUCUUAAUGUCUUCAGCAUCAGAAGCAGACGCUCCUCCCUGACAUUAAAAGUUUACAGUCAGUUUAUCAAGGACAUAAUAUAGAUGAACUUAGUUAUGAUACUGUGUUAUCA
rnacentral:lncRNA from 1 species